CUUGCAAUGAUCCUGCCUCAGCCUCCCGAGUGCUGGGAUUCAGGCGUGCACCACCACGCCCGGCUGUAGUAUAAACUUUGUGAAACAUUCUUUUGCUGGGAAGCGAUGUAAAGCAAAGGGAUGUUCUCAGGCAUAGACUGUCUGGGUUUAGAUUCCUGUUCCACUUAGCUGUCAUUGUAGUAGAAUUAUUUCAGCUGCCAGUGGCCAGCGCUUGCUGUAGAGUCAGGUGUGCUCCCUGAUGACGGGCUGAGCUGCUUUGGUAGAGAACACUAAUGGCUCUGGGAAAGCUGCUCAGAUGGUGGGGUUGUGAUUUUUGUGGUCUCUACACCUUGUAGCUUAAGCCUUAUCUGGUUGUUCUUAAUGUUAAGGGAUUCUUUGGCCCACGUUGCAGAAUAAUCAGUUACUGCAUUACUUCAUUAAAAAUGCGUUGUCCAAAAAAAUCACGGGCAACAACGUGGGGGAGAGAGGUCUUUGAUGUCUCUUAGAAGGGCACCAGUCCCUCACAAGGUCAUGUAAACCUAUACUUGCUGCUAUAGUUAGGAUUUGUAAUGCCUCAGAGGCCUAAGUGUUCAAUAAAGCCCCAGCCUCCAGCCGUGGCCCCCUGGGAGGUGGUGGAACCUGUACGAGGUGGGGCCUGGUGGGAGGUCUCGGGUCAUUGAGGGUGCACUCAUGGAGGGGACUGUAGGCCUCUGGUCCCUCCCUUCUCCUGUCUAGGCUGAGCAAGCGGUCUGUUGCGCUGUGCAUUCCAUGCUGAGGUACCCUGUCUCUAAGAAUCACUGACCGUGGCCAGUAACAGGAAACCAUGAGUGAAAACAAACCUGUCCUCUUAUAAAUUGUCAUCUGUUACAGUACUCUCACAGUAACUUACAGUAACAGCUAACACCUUCUCAAAGACAAUUCCUAAUACCAUCACAGGGGAGAGUGCUACAAUUCAGUCCACUGCACCAUUUAAUUUACACAUUCACCAAAUAGAAUUUUCUUGAGAAUAAAAAACUGGUUAUCAAUGAUACUGGAACAAAAGUAAUUGGGUCUGCUUUUUUUUUUUUUUUUUUUCCUUUACUAGGGAUUAAGCCCAAGGCGUCACAAACCAAGCCCUGGUACACAUCGGCCACAUGACCCAGUUCUAGGAGACACAGGAAGUCUGCUAGGUUUCUGGAAAGGAUUUUUUCACCUGAAUUUUUUAAAGAAGAGAAGAGGAUGACAGUGACAGCAGUGACAAGGAAUAAUGCUCUUUUUCAUGCACCAUCCACAGCUCACUCUUAGGAGUGUGGGGCUACUCCGGACACCCCGUAAGGAUCAGGGGAAGGCCAGAAAUGCAGGGGCACAGGUCGAGUCCUAAUAGUGUUCAUCCCCUGUACUGGAAAUAAGUUACCUGUGGACUUACUGUUACAGGAAAAGAAUUACCAGUUUCUGGGAGAGAACUUGCUAAAGUUUCAAGCAUUAAGUGAGACGUUAAUACCUGACUUGUGUUAAUGCUCAAUAAACACUGGCUGUUACUAUUACAGGAA